rnacentral:rRNA from 1 species
CACGUAGGGUGCGAGCGUUGUCCGGAAUUAUUGGGCGUAAAGAGCUCGUAGGCGGUGUGUCGCGUCGGCCGUGAAAACCUGCAGCUUAACUGUGGGCGUGCGGUCGAUACGGGCAUCACUGGAGUUCGGCAGGGGAGACUGGAAUUCCUGGUGUAGCGGUGAAAUGCGCAGAUAUCGGGAGGAACACCGGUGGCGAAGGCGGUUCUCUGGGCCUGACCUGACGCUGAGGAGCGAAAGCGUGGGGAGCGAACAGG